AGCUUGUACAGGUGCUGCAUGGCUGUCGUCAGCUCGUGUCGUGAGAUGUCGGUUAAGUCGCUAACGAGCGCAACCCUCGCUGUGUGUUACAAGCGUCACACGGAACUGCCGGUCAUAACCGGAGGAAGGUGGGGAUGACGUCAAGUCAGCAUGGCCUUUAUAUCCUGGGCUACACACACGCUACAAUGGGAAGGGACAAUAGGUUGCGAAGCCGCGAGGCGGAGCCAAUCCAGCAAAACUUACCCUCAGUUCAGAUUGCAGGCUGCAACUCGCCUGCAUGAAGUUGGAGUUGCUAGUAAACGCAGGUCAGCCAUACUGCGUUGAAUACGUUCCCGGGGCUU
rnacentral:rRNA from 1 species